AUGCCCAGCAAAGCAAAGAUGGCCUCUGUACAGGCGCAACGGAAGGUUGGAAACCAAGACGACGGCCUCCAUGGCGCCGAGCAGGAGGCGGUGCGCGCCACGGGGAGAGGCAGGAGCAAGGCGUCGGCGCGGAAGGUGACCUACGGCUUCCACCUGGUGGAGGGCAAGAUGCCGCACGGGAUGGAGGACCGCCACGUGGCCGAGUUCAGGCGCCUGGACGAUGGCAACGAGGUGGGCCUCUUCGGCGUCUUCGACGGCCACUCGGGCGCCGACGUCGCCACCUACCUCCGGAACCACCUCUUCGACAACAUCCUCGGCGAGCCGGACUUCUGGGAGGACACCAUGGGGGCGAUACGGCGCGCCUACCACCGCACCGACAGGAAGGUGCUCAAGAAGAAGAAGGUGACCGCCGACGGCGAGGAAAUAGUAAGGCCACGCCGCGGUGGGUCCACGGCGGUGACGGUGAUCCUCCUCAACGGGGAGACCCUGGUGGUGGCCAACGUGGGGGACUCCCGCGCAGUCGUGUGCGAGGGCGGCAGGGCGAGGCAGCUCUCCGUGGACCACCAGCCGCUCCGGGAGCGCGACGCCAUCGAGAGCAGGGGAGGCUUCGUCACCGAGAUGCAUGGGGACGUGCCUCGCGUGGACGCGUCGCUGGCGAUGUCGCGGGCGUUCGGUGACCGGAAACUCAAGGAGCACAUCAGCUCCGACCCGGACGUGGCCAUCGAGCACGUCGGGGACGACACCGAGUUCGUCGUCGUCGCCAGCGACGGGCUCUGGAAGGUGAUGUCCAGCCAGGAGGCCGUGGACGAGGUCAGGGACACGCGCGACGCCCGGAAGGCGGCGGUGAAGCUCGUGGAUUCGGCGGUGGACCGGGGAAGCAAGGACGACCUCGCUUGCGUCGUCGUGCGCAUCCACUGA
rnacentral:rRNA from 1 species